rnacentral:rRNA from 1 species
GAUGAACGCUGGCGGCGUGCCUAAUACAUGCAAGUCGAGCGAACAGACGAGGAGCUUGCUCCUCUGAGGAUAGCGGCGGACGGGUGAGUAACACGUGGAGAACCUACCUAUAAGACUGGGAUAACUUCGGGAAACCGAAGCUAAUACCGGAUAAUAUCUUUAAACGCAUGGUUCAAUAGUGAAAGAUGCUUUUGCAGUACCUUAUGAUUAGAUCGCGGCGGCUUAGCCUGUUGGGUAAGGAAAGGGCCUACCAAGGGGAGGAUGAGAACCCGCCCUAGGAGGGGGUUCGCCCACACGGGAACUGAGCCACGGCCCAGACCCCUACGGGAGGAAGCAGAAGGGAAUCUCGCGAAAUGGGCGAAGGCCUGACGGAGCAACGCCGCGUGGGGGAUGAAGGUCUCGGGUUCGUAAACCUCUUUUAUUAGGGAAGAACAAAGUUGUAAGUAACUAUGCACGUCUUGACGGUACCUAAUCAGAAAGCCACGGCUAACUACGUG